rnacentral:rRNA from 1 species
AGCAGCCGCGGUAAUUCCAGCUCCAAUAGCGUAUAUUAAAGUUGUUGCAGUUAAAAAGCUCGUAGUUGAAUUUCGGGAUCAAUAUGUUGGUCGUGCCUCGGUACGUACUAGCUUAUUGGUUUCUCCUUUCUGAAGAACCAUGAUGUCAUUUAUUUGGUGUCGUGGGGAAUCAGGACUGUUACUUUGAAAAAAUUAGAGUGUUUAAAGCAGGCUCACGCUUGAAUACAUUAGCAUGGAAUAAUGAAAUAGGACGUUUGAUUCUAUUUUGUUGGUUUCUAGGAUCGACGUAAUGAUUAAUAGGGAUAGUUGGGGGCAUUAGUAUUCAAUUGUCAGAGGUGAAAUUCUUGGAUUUAUUGAAGACUAACUACUGCGAAAGCAUUUGCCAAGGAUGUUUUCAUUAAUCAAGAACGAAAGUUAGGGGAUCGAAGACGAUCAGAUACCGUCGUAGUCUUAACCAUAAACUAUGCCGACUAGGGAUCGGAUGAUGUUAAUUUUUUAAUGUACUC